rnacentral:lncRNA from 1 species
UAUUCCUGAAACAACAGUGAUACAUCUGAUCUCUAUCAAAGCAUAUUAAAGUUGGUACAGAAUCUUGACUUUAUGGAUCUAGACUCCUCGAGAAAACCAUUAUUUUGCAAACUAUUCCUGAAACAGCAGUGAUAGGUCUGAUCUCUAUCGAAGCAUAUUAAAGUUGGUAUAUAGGAAAACAAACCUGUUUAUAUAGGGCAUUGAGAUGUUAGAUCUCCCUCUUUGUGAACUUCUAAUCCUUGUUGGUUUUUCUCUUUUUCAACUGUCAUUAUCUUUUGAAUCACACACAUUUGUGAUGUUCUUCUAUACUCACGAUUUUAUACUCAUAUUUUCUGACCAUGGUAUAAUUGUAAGGGCAGAAGGUGUGAACAUUAAUAUUAUUCCAAUUAUACACUGAUUUAGUGCCUUGAACCAAAGUUUUAAACAAUUAUCAAUUUUCUAGUUAUACGCCAAUUAUCUCUGUGAAAGGUAAGAAAGUGAAGACAGACAAGAGAUCUUUCAGUGGAGAAAAGACAAAAAAAUUAAAAAAAAUCUUUAAUUUCUGCGUUACGAAGUUUAAGAAUUUUCACUCGUUAAUUCUCCACUAACUACAGUGUCCAAAAAGCAAGAUAAACAAGGACGAAAGAGAACAUAUUUAUUUUGUGAGGAUCAUACAUAUGAUGAACACUAGAAUACGAUAUAUGUUCUAAUCCUUACUUGUUUUGCUAAUGUAUCAUAUAUUUUCCCAGAAAUAAAGAUAUUUUAUCAGAAAUCAUUAUUAUUAGCUAAGCUAAUCUCCUAUAGUGUGGGGAAAGCCAGUGGAGGAUUCACUUAAAUGAAAUGACUCUACUUGGUCUUGCAUCAUGAAUAGACUAGUUAAACAGCAUCAGAAAAUAGCAAAAUCAUGUUAUGAGCUCAGGGUGUUGUGGUCAAAUUUUGAUCUGUAGGAUUGUGGAGGGAAGCGAAGAUGGAGGCUCAAGCUGGAAUGUGUUGGAUGAACAGAAUUCUCAGAUAUUCGAGAGGCGUUUUCAGCGGAAAACCUUUAUGGUAAAGAAGAAGUGCAUGUCCAAAGCGUUUAGGUAUAUUAUCUUCAAAGCGUCUUGUUCUUCUAUCUAAUUAUCCGUGUGCUAAUUUCUUGACAUUGAACCUUGAUUUUGCCAGAUUCAGGUUCCUAGCAGCCAGAGAUGUUAAAGCAAAUUCUAGGUUUCAGAUAGGAGGCAUCGACCUCUAUGCAAAACCUUACUAGUUUCUUGGGAUAUCCUACAUGAACUGAGGUUCUGAGUGGAGGAUGUAAUGUCCACAAACAAACGAUAAAUGUGAGCAUAAGUUAAAAGCAACGAAUAAUAAUUCCAUCUAUUUACUCCAAGCAUUCAACAGUUAUAAUUUGAUUGUUCAAAGUGUUUUUUGUAAUCUGUGGCUCACAUGAUACUAAGUUAUGGAAGAUUGUUGUGUUGCUAAUAAAAAAAGAGAAUUUGUUUUGGCAUUUGUUGUGGUGCGUUUAGCACGCCAUGGUAUUUUAAAGUCAUGUUUACAAGUUCCAUUUAUCAUUUGCAGACGCUUUCAUGUAUCAAUCACUUCUCUUGAGGUUUAGGUGUAGACUUUCUUGUCGAUUAUUUAAUAUUCUUCUAAUGUUUGAAUGUUUUUUUGCCCGCAUAAAGAACGAUUUGUUGUUGUCACGGACAAUCAGUUGUUCUAUAAUGUUUUUGGAUUUUGUUAGGUGUCUACUAGACGAUGGUUUAUUUUAUAUAUAAUUUAUGUGUUUGGGAGGAGUAGAACGCAUCCAAGGAGUGUUAAGUCAUGCAUCUCUCUCGCUCUCUCUCUCUCUCGUUCUCUCUCGCUCUCGCUCUCGUUCUCUCUCUCUCUCUCUCUCUCUCUCACACACACACACACACACACGCUCUGCUACUGAGCUGCCGCCGCCAUGCAAAUAGUGCCUACCCCGUACCCUCGCUCCAGCGAACCAUCCCGGCAGACGGACAAUUGCUUCGUAUCCACAAUAAUUUGGUGCAUGAAAUAAGGAAAUCAUUUGAUCUCAUACUCAAAAAUUUUUAAUCAAACCAUCUCUAUCAGACUCGAACAAGUAAGUACACGAUGAUGCCAACAAGCACAACAAAACCCUCCAAGAACACAAAACUAUAUCGUAGGGAUUAAUGACAACUUCCUCUUCAGAACAAUAUUAAUGUACAUUCUGUCUCCAUCGAUCACAAUGAAUGCUGGGAACCAAUAAACCACACCCUCAUCGAGAAUUAUGAAAGACUACAACUGUGAGCUACGAUUCUGGUGUUCUUAGCUGGUAAUCACACGAGUAACCUCACUAGCCAACGGGGUAAGUCGAAGGUUAUGCAAGACUCUGCUAGCAAAAAGAGCUAGUGUUCAUGCCGCUGCUUUGAUCUCAAACUUGGGACGAUCCUAAUGCCAUCAUCAUCGUCAUGAAUUAGGAAAUGCCCGAACCACAUCCAUGAUGGGGGAUCCACAAAUUGGGCACUUUCCACUGUUCCACUGUAACUCACAGGCACACUUAUAACAGGUACACAUAUGACCGCACCUGAAGACAACAGCGCAUGCAUUAUUAAGUUACAUACUACUAUGAAUUCUUUGAUGUCUUAUAGACAAGGAUAUGGGCAUUUGGUAAGGUAAGACUCUGAUCUCACAAAAACCUCGGGUGCUAGGUAAACCAUUUACCUGUAGAAUACCGAAUCAACUUGCAUCUCGCUGCAGAUGUAGCAGCCGCCUUUCCUUGCUGAUGUUGCGCCCAAGUUGUGCAAGCUACUCCCUGAUCCAGCUGUAGUAAGGCAAAAUCAUUCAUGAUAUAUAAGUUAUAGGCUCUCUACAAUGACUUGACAUUUUAUCUAUGGCUCUCUAAUGCAACUUCAGCCAAAAAAAGUUCAGAAUUAUCCAGAUAGGCAAGAUCAUGUUUACAAAUGACAUUGAACAUGAACAUAGAUUUUCUUUAUUUCAGUUUUCUUCUACGGAGUCAUACUUCUACACCAAUGUUGCCAUAAAAUAGCAAACCAUUUUUUUUCCUUGGAGUUCUUCGAGAUCAGAUUAAGACCAGAUGAAGAACGAUUGCUUGUCAUAGUUCUUUUGUUUUUAUAGAGAGAUUAUAGUUAAGACACAUGGCUUUUACAAAUCUCAAUGGUGUCAAAAGAUCCACGUAGUCGAUCCCAAAUAGUUGGGACUUAUGACUUUGUUGUUGUUGUUAUUGUUGUUGUUGUAUUGUAGAGAUAUUAUAGUUAAAUGCAGAAUGAAAAUCAAGAUGGCAGAUCCUUCAACAUGGAUGUCAUCAUGCAUAGGAAAAAAAAAGAAGAAGCAAGUAUACGAGUACUCACUUGAUUGGAAAAUUGCAUCCAAAAUGUCCUGCUUGAUAGAAUGCUGUAAUUUGGCUUGCCACUCCAUGCAACUCUUGACCAAUUUCCGCAGUUCACUAAUUUCAUCAUGGAUUUGAGCCAUAUCACUUCUCAACUUAUGCAUAGCUUCCAUAUCCUGUCAUAUCACCAACGAAUACAUUUCAUCAGCAAACACAGAAUUCUCAAUGAAAUAAAAACAUGGAGAUCCAACACAUACUGGCACAUUAUUAGAUGAUUGGUGCGCAAAUGAAUUAUGCUGCCAACUUUCUUGGUGGUGCAAGGUAUGAUAUUGUAAAGGUAUCAGUGAUGAUGAGACAGAUGCUUCUUGCUCAGUGUUCUGGUAUUCACCAUUUUGUUGCCAACAAGGGAGAUCCUCAUCAUUUUCUGCAAAAUUCUCAUCAAAACCUUGUUUCCCUUGUCUCUGUAGGAAUGACAAUAACAUUUGAUUCAUCUUAUCGCAGAAAUCACUCUCAAGGGAGGUGGAGACUCUUCUUCUGCAGAGAAAAUGAAAAUGAGACUUUUAAUCAUGAAGUUCUGAACUCAAACUGCUAAAUGCUUAUAAUCUUCUGCAAAUGAAUAAUUAAUUAAUACCCACUCUUCAACAGAGAAAACAACAGUAAUGGGAUUGCUUGAUUUCAGAAAAAGGAUCACAAUCAAUGGAGAAGAAGAUCGAGCUUACUUGUCAGGUAGAAUAACAUGUUAAUUGAAGUUAAAUAAAAACAUAAUUAUUACCUGAAUUUCCUAACUGUACUGUAAGUAAAGAUAAAUUGAUCGAAUUAUACUAUAGGAUUGUUUUUUUGUGUCAUGAUCUUAGCAAAAUGGAAUCAGUAUGUACCUCUCGAGAAGGUCCCUUAUUUCAGCAUUAUCUGAGAAAUUCUGAAACAAGUCAUGACAUGGAGGUCGCCUCCUCACCCUCCAUUGCCGCCAUGAAUUACUUGGACCCUCAUCUAUCCAACUACUAGCAUUUUGCUGUGGGUAUGAUUCUAGUUCCUCUACGGUGGCCUCACCCUGCCAGCCAUUUGUUAGUGAUGAGUCUGCAGGCCUUUGCCAAUCAAUGUUACUCAUCCAUACAUUCUGCUCAUCCCAGGAACCAUCAAUACUAUGGCUUGCUUCCUGUGUAUCAUUGCUCCUGGAACAUGGUGAGUUGGUUCUGGAUGGAGUGCUUUCUGAAUCUCUUGGAGACACAGUUCCCUGAUACUGAUUGUUAUCCCUAGUAAACUGAUCGGUAGAGCAUGUGUAGCCUGAGUCUUCAGUAUCCAUGGCAAAUUGAAUUUGAACACUGCUCGAGCUCUCCGGAGUUGGCUUUCUGCUGCCAGAAUGAUUCCCUCUUUGGUUGAAUCUCUCCCUGGUAAUGUUCAAGCAGACCAAUUCAUUGAAAUCUAAGUUAGGCAAGUGAAGGAUAAUAAGUUCCAAACGUGAAGCUCCAAGUGGAUCAUUUGCACAUCUUUUAAACACGAAAAUUCUCUAUUGUCCUAGACCAUGAUAAGGCACCACAUUUGCUCACAAUAGAGUGAAAAUGGAAGAAGCAGACUACUCCAUGCUAGUAUCUAUGGUUCAUGUCAAGUGAAGGUUCUCAAGCAACCUAACACAUGGUUCCAUCACUGGAGUUGCUAUAAGAAAAAAUAUGGUUCUGAUCAUCUAAGCAACAUCAACAUAGAUUAUUCUUUUCAUAUCAAUUGGCUUCUUUUCAUAUACCAAAAUCGACAUGAAUUGUGUUUAAUCCAGAUCAACUGUGGCAAGUGCAAUAGCCUAGGAUAGUACCUUAGAAAUGAGAUUGUGGCUCCAUUAUGUGAUUGAUCCAAUUCCAACGUUCUUGCAGGUGCUCUUAGGUGAUCCUGCUCUGUUACUUGUCGUCGCAAAGACCUGAGCCUGAGCAUUGACUGCAGAAUAUGCCAUGCAAAAGAAGAGCAAUUAUUAGAGAACGUGAACAUAUAUCUCCUUUCCUGGUAUGAUGCAUAUGCAGUAGUUCAUUAAUGUUUAUCCAUUAAUGAAAUGAUGGAUAUGCAAAACAUUAUUCUAGGCACCACCUUGCCUGCAUUAGUCAUCAUUUAUUCUGUGGUCGCUAUAUGUUUAUAUUGUAUUACUGGAUGGACUCCAAGCCCUUUUGUGCAACAGAAUAUACCAAAUGAAGAACAUAUUCUAAAUUCAACAGCCUGAAAGUGAAGAUAGAUAUUAAAAAUAUUUGACUUUUCUGAUACAGCUACAUUUUUAUUGUCUUUUCUAGUUUAACACAGAUCUCAAAUUGACUCAUACAACCUUUAAAGAGUCAAAAAGGUACCUGAUCAAACUCUAUAUUAGUGAACUCCUAGUUAAACCAAUAACACCUAAUAAUGGCAUUUAUUCAGGAUAUGGAACACCAACAGCUGAGUUUGUUCUAAAUAUGGAAUAUAAAUACAGGAAUAACAACAGUCGCAUUAAUGAAGAAAAAGAAAUACAUGUCUCAUCUAUGUUGGCUAGGAAAUUAGUGUUUUUUUUAGAACCAGAAAAGGGAUGUAUAACACAAACCAUGACCUAGAUACUAAGCUCCAUCAGAGACAAAGAAAUAACCUGUGCCAGAAUCUUGCUGAUUUAGAGAUUUUGCACUAAAACAAAAGAGCAGGCAUCAUCUUUUCUAUAUCUUCCCUGCACAAGUAGUAUCCGUAGACAAGAAAGAAAAUUGAGAAAUCUCCUCUACUAGGUUGUUUCCUAAGAGAGAGAGAGAGAGAAUGAUCUUUUCUUAAAUAGAUGAAGGGGAAAAGGAUGAAAGAUGUUCCUAAUGCCAAACUAGGAUGAUAGUCAAGUUUAAACUCUCUGUUCCAUGGUUAUGUCACCCAAUAAAUUUUCAAUACUGGCAGUGUUAAUCCACCUAGAAUUACUAACUCAAUUAAGAUCUCACUCCUUUAUUGAACUUCACUCUGACAAUUAACAGAGAUAUGGUGAACUUCUAUCAUUACUGAGGAUAACGAUUGAUCGCAUUUGACACCAACAUCAAUUAAGAAUGAACUGUAAUAUUCUUCCUACACUAAAUAUACUUUAUGAGCAACUAUAUUCAGCCAGAUCUUGUACCCAGUUGGAGCUGUACUUAGCAUGGAGUAUUAUGGACAUUAUUCGCCAAAACAAUAAGUUUCUGAAAGCAUUGAUACAAGCAAGGAAAGCUCUGGCUUUAAAUUUCAGGAGCAGAAAUGUUUCUGGUAGUAAAAAAAUGAGUUCCAUGAAGUUAUGUUCUAGAAAAGAUAAAAGAAUGUCAUGUCUGUAUCUUGUCCAUCAAAUAGACAAUAUAUGAGACUACAUCUUACCUCUGUUUUCCCACCAAGCAUGCAUAAGAAGCUGGAAAGAGAAAAUUUUCAUCACCUAAUCAUACACAAGAGAUUACAGUACACCUACCAAAUUCCUUGUGUGCUUAAGAAGGGCAAUUGAAGAGAAGCAUGUCAAUAUAUUUAUUACCGAGAAUCUAAAGCAAUUAAACUCUACUAAAAUGUGAAGCCUACAUCGUUACCACUCAUAAAAUGUGAAAGCUAUAAGAAAGGCUGUUGCAGUUCACCUGAAGGCGGCCGCGAUGCGCAAACCGCGAGACACAUUGAUGGUCGGCCAAUGCCGCGAGCUCCUUCCGCCUCUCCUCUUCCAUUCUUGCGACCAAAUCCUCCAUCUCUCGCCGCCCUCGCAACCCCCUCAGUCUCAAACUGGACGAGCCCGUGCUGCAGAAACUGUCCGCCUUAUCCGUCGUCACCGGAUUCUCUCGCCGCAUCGGCUUGGUGUCAUGGUUCAACGGUGCCAUGGAGCUGCGUGUUCUGUCCCCUGAGCUCAGCAUCUUCACGAUGCUCCCCACCCGGCCCUUGUCGUUCUCAUUCGAUGAAGAAGGCGGAUUCACUGGCUCGCUGGUCGCCGUAGUUGUCAUGUCGGACUCCCAGUCACCAGAUGCAUCCGAAUCCUCGACACCAUCGGAGUUAACAGCCGAGGGCUCGUCGGUUGGGGCGGCAUUGGCGUUUUCGAUACCAUCGGAGUUAACACCCGAGGGCUCGUCGGUGGAGGCGGCAUUGGCGUUUUCUGCGUUGCCACCGCUGCUCGCCGGGCGGUGCUUGGGAGUGAGCCCGGCCUCGGCCUCCAGCUCCCGCCACAUCUGUAUCAAAGAUGAGGCCCGGACGCUGCGCGGCAGGUCGCCGGCUCCGGAGGUGGACGCGGGAGCGCUGCCCGAGCAGGUCUCGGAGGGCUCGGGGGACGCCUCGCGGAGCAGCGAGGCGGCGCGGGCGGAGACGGGCUGCGCGACGGUAGUCAAAGCCGAUAUCUCGGCCUCAUGCGCCUGCCGCUCGAUGGUGGUGACCAUCUCCCGCGCCUGCCGCGCGGCCCACCGGUCUAGGAUCUGCGACUGCCGCUUCCUCGCCGUCACCGGCGAUCCCCUGUCGUCCUCAUUCGUUACGACGGAAUUGGCAACAGCAGUCGAAGCCACCGAAGAAGAAGACGUGGAACAGGAGGAGGAAGGUGCAUCGGUGCUCUGCGGCUGGCGAACGAGGACUUUCCUGAGGUGAGCAGGGGAGAAGGAAGUGCGAGCGUGUGCCGCGCCGAAGACGGCGGCGGCGAGGCGACCGGGGUCGCGCCACUCGUCGGCGGCGUGCAUGCUGGCCACCGAAGAGGCCAUGCCAAAAGGCGAAAGGAACGAGAAGGAGGGCAACAAGGACGACAACUAAUGUCGGGGGGUGGCGAUGGAGGAGGGAGGGGUUCUCGGCGAGAGCAAUAUAAGAUGGGAACAGCCGUUUCAUUCCAUCCGCCUCUUGUCUCCUAUUCUGAGCAUGGUGUAAUAACGAAAGGGCGGGAUUGCUGUUGUUGUUGUUGUUGUGGAGCUUCUUCUUCUUCUUCUUCUGAUGAUGAUGAUGAUGAUGCGGAGCGAAAGAGAAGGAGAGGUUUCGAAUUGGGUUGUGGGGAAUUGAAUUGGUUCAUCCCGAGCAUGUGAUACUGCGGUCGUACCAGGAAGCAGUAGUUAUUGGCGUCGUUACUGCUCUCCAGGGAAUGGCUGGCGCGGAGACGUUAAUGGAGGAGGAGGAGAGCGAUUUGAAAGAGUGGAUGGAUAGGGAAGGAGGAGGCGAAGGUUGCGGCCGGGAUGAGCGCGCGGCCAGCCAUGGAAACAAACGGUGGUGGUGGUGGGAAUGGGCUGGUGAUGGAUACGCACGCGUGAGAUGAGAAAGAUCGUUUCCGCCUCGCUCAACAUCGUCAUGUUCGAUUCGAUUUCGACUCGUCCGUUCGAAGUCGCACGCGUUGCGUAAUGGGAAACUUUUGGGCCGACGACGAGAGAAUUCGGCCCAUUGGAUGAUUAAAAGACGAAGACGAGGUUUCGGACUGAUCCGCCACUUGUUAGUUGGUAAGCGCAUGUUCUUGCAGAGACGAUGCAAUAAAAAUAAUACAUUAAUGAAAAUUGGGAAGAACAGGAGGAUGCCUACUUUAAUACAUUGAUGAAGAAUUAUAUAUAUACGUCAUAUAUUUUAUUUUUAUUAUUAUUAUUAUUAUUGAUGAACUCUUCAAAGUUCAUCGCACGACAAACCUCCAAUUCAUACUGAUAGCGUUUCACAUGUCAAGACUCAAUUGACCCAACAAAAUAAUGAUCACAUCACUUGCAUCUCAUUAUGCUUCAGGAUACGAGCUUGUUUACUUUCAAAUAACAAUAAUGUUCAAGCAGUAUUUUUUGUUGUUUUCUUAUUCUGGGAGAUAUAUUGAGUGAAAACUGGGCGUGUUUGGCAUCAAAUGCUUUUCUUUUUCUUUUUGUUGUGUAAGUUAUGUCAUGAUUUAGUUGUGAGUAUUAUUAGGAAAGAUACUAUUAAAAAAAUAAAUCAUGAUAAGAUUAUCAUGAUCAUUUUAAUAUUUUGAUAUUAUAUUAUUGUGAUUCUAAAUCAUAAAAAUUAUGAUGAUUCUAUCAAUAAUGACGAUCAAGAUCUCUUUGUUAUUGUUGCUCUAAUAAGCCUUUCUUUUUCUUAAGUUGCUUUGGUUCUUUUUUUUUUUUUCAUUUUUUGACAUGGCCAGUGAUGUAUCUUCAACUAGACAUUCAUCUCAUAUUAUUCUCAACGUCUUUACUUUUAAAAGUACUCUUAUCUUUAUUAACGUUUCUAAACUCAUCUCAAACUCAUAUCUACAAACUAUACCUUUUAGAAUAUUCAAUUUUAUUCUCUUUUAAUCAGUUAUGAUCUCAUGGGUUAUGUAGAUAGCACCAUCACUUGCCCUCCACAAACAAUUAGAGAGAAUAAUCUUGAAGUUCUUAAUCCUAAACACACUUUUUGAAUCCGUCAAAAUUAUCUUCUUAAAAGUACUUUCAUUGCCUCUCUCUCCUCAAAUCAUUCGCUCCGUAGUCUCUAUAAAAUCCUCUUAUGAAGUGUGAUCUAAGUUUGCAAUAAUAUAUGUCAAACAAUCUCGUGGUCACCUCAGGCAACUUUGAGAAAUUUUCUUGGAGCUUUCUAGGGACACGAAAUCUAUUUCUAACUAUAUGCAGAUUUAACUAUUAUCUUACUUUUGUUAAUGAUUUCACAAAGGUUUGAUUCGGUGAAAAAGAUGAUUUUUUUUCUUCACACCACAAGUGGUGUUGUACCCUUUUAUCAACGAGGUAAAAGAAUAGAUUUCUUCAUCAAGUUUUUUCUCU